rnacentral:piRNA from 1 species
UGGCAAAAAAGUAGGUGUCAGCCCCAGC